GACGAACGCUGGCGGCGUGCUUAACACAUGCAAGUCGAACGGAAAGGCCCAGCUUGCUGGGUGCUCGAGUGGCGAACGGGUGAGUAACACGUGGGCGAUCUGCCUCUAACUUCGGGAUAAGCUUGGGAAACUGGGUCUAAUACCGGAUAGGACAAUCGUUUAGUGUCGGUUGUGGAAAGUUUUUUCGGUUAGGGAUGAGCCCGCGGCCUAUCAGCUUGUUGGUGGGGUAAUGGCCUACCAAGGCGUCGACGGGUAGCCGGCCUGAGAGGGUGGACGGCCACAUUGGGACUGAGAUACGGCCCAGACUCCUACGGGAGGCAGCAGUGGGGAAUAUUGCACAAUGGGCGCAAGCCUGAUGCAGCGACGCCGCGUGGGGGAUGACGGCCUUCGGGUUGUAAACCUCUUUCGACAGGGACGAAGCUUUGGUGACGGUACCUGUAGAAGAAGCACCGGCUAACUACGUG
rnacentral:rRNA from 1 species